rnacentral:rRNA from 1 species
CUCGUAGGCGGUUCGUCGCGUCCGGUGUGAAAGUCCAUCGCUUAACGGUGGAUCCGCGCCGGGUACGGGCGAGCUUGAGUGCGGUAGGGGAGACUGGAAUUCCCGGUGUAACGGUGGAAUGUGUAGAUAUCGGGAAGAACACCAAUGGCGAAGGCAGGUCUCUGGGCCGUUACUGACGCUGAGGAGCGAAAGCGUGGGGAGCGAACA